rnacentral:rRNA from 1 species
UACGUAGGUGGCAAGCGUUGUCCGGAUUUAUUGGGUUUAAAGGGUGCGUAGGCGGCCUUGUAAGUCAGUGCUGAAAUAUCCCGGCUUAACCGGGAGGGUGGCAUUGGUACUGCAGGGCUUGAGUAAAGUUGAGGUUGGCGGAAUUGACGGUGUAGCGGUGAAAUGCUUAGAUAUCGUCAAGAACACCGAUAGUGAAGACAGCUAACUAAGCUUUAACUGACGCUGAGGCACGAAAGUGUGGGGAUCAAACAGG